rnacentral:tRNA from 1 species
CCGCCCCUCUAGUAUUUACUUGCAAAUGAUUUAAUUUCCACUUCCACUAUUGAUUAAUUUAUUAACGUUUAUUAG